GCCGAGGUGGCGGAAUUGGCAGACGCGCCGGACUCAAAAUCCGGUGGUGGUGACACUGUGAGGGUUCAAGUCCCUCCCUCGGUA
rnacentral:tRNA from 1 species